AUACGUAGGGAGCGAGCGUUGUCCGGAAUUACUGGGCGUAAAGGGCGCGUAGGCGGCGCUUCAAGUCGUCUGUCAAAUGGAAGGGCUUAACCCUUUUUCGCAGACGAAACUGGAGAGCUUGAGAAGCAGAGAGGCAAACAGAAUUCCUGGUGUAGCGGUGAAAUGCGUAGAUAUCAGGAAGAAUACCAGUGGCGAAGGCGGUUUGCUGGCUGCAUACUGACGCUGAAGCGCGAAAGCCAGGGGAGCGAACGGGAUUAGAUACCCCGGUAGUCCUGGCAGUAAACGAUGUAUGCUGGGUGUGAGACUAGCGAUAGUUUCGUGCCGAAGUUAACGCGAUAAGCAUACCGCCUGGGGAGUACGGUCGCAAGAUUGAAACUCAAAUGAAUUGACGGG
rnacentral:rRNA from 1 species